GGAAUUUUCCGCAAUGGGCGAAAGCCUGACGGAGCAACGCCGCGUGAGGGAUGAAGGCCUCUGGGCUGUAAACCUCUUUUAUCAAGGAAGAAGAUCUGACGGUACUUGAUGAAUAAGCCACGGCUAAUUCCGUGCCAGCAGCCGCGGUAAUACGGGAGUGGCAAGCGUUAUCCGGAAUUAUUGGGCGUAAAGCGUCCGCAGGCGGUCUGUCAAGUCUGCUGUUAAAGCGUGGAGCUUAACUCCAUUUCGGCAGUGGAAACUGACAGACUAGAGUGCGGUAGGGGCAGAGGGAAUUCCCGGUGUAGCGGUGAAAUGCGUAGAUAUCGGGAAGAACACCAGUGGCGAAGGCGCUCUGCUGGGCCAUAACUGACGCUCAUGGACGAAAGCCAGGGGAGCGAAAGGGAUUAGAUACCCCAGUAGUC
rnacentral:rRNA from 1 species